CACGUAGGGUGCGAGCGUUGUCCGGAAUUAUUGGGCGUAAAGAGCUCGUAGGCGGUUUGUCGCGUCGGGAGUGAAAAACGCCGUGCUUAACACGGCGCUUGCUUUCGAUACAGGCAGACUAGAGGUAUGCAGGGGAGAACGGAAUUCCUGGUGUAGCGGUGAAAAUGCGCAGAUAUCAGGAGGAACACCGGUGGCGAAGGCGGUUCUCUGGGCAUUACCUGACGCUGAGGAGCGAAAGUGUGGGGAGCGAACAGG
rnacentral:rRNA from 1 species